GCAAUGACAUAAGAAACUUGGUUACCGAUUUUGCAGAAACAACGAAAACUCCAAAACAAUAUUCGCUAGGUUAAGGUUCGAACAACCAUCGAAGACAAUGGCCGGAGGCGCAGGCUUAUUCAAGUUCAUCAAGCCAAACAACCGUCCUCAACCCGUCGAUAUCCAAUCCGCCGUAGGUUGGGGCGUCGUUGCUCUCACCGGUGCUGUUUGGGUCGUCCAGCCUUUUGAUUGGGUGAAGAAGACCUUUUUUGAGAAACCAGAGCCAGAAAAUUGAAUUGAAUAGAGAGAGGUAUUGGCAUCCAUCCAUCCAUCUCUAAUGGCUGAAAACUCUUCAUUUGUUUCCUUUUGCUUUCUGCUGAUGAGAAAACUGUAGGCAGGUUUUGUUUUGAUUAAAUAAUGUAAAACUCCAACAUUCGGUAGUUUAAAGAAGAAGAUAUACAAUGGUUUUUGUGGUGGCCA